rnacentral:rRNA from 1 species
GAUGAACGCUGGCGGCGUGCUUAACACAUGCAAGUCGAACGAAGCACUUUAUUUGAUUUCCUUCGGGACUGAUUAUUUUGUGACUGAGUGGCGGACGGGUGAGUAACGCGUGGGUAACCUGCCUUGUACAGGGGGAUAACAGUUGGAAACGGCUGCUAAUACCGCAUAAGCGCACGGCAUCGCAUGAUGCAGUGUGAAAAACUCCGGUGGUAUAAGAUGGACCCGCGUUGGAUUAGCUAGUUGGUGAGGUAACGGCCCACCAAGGCGACGAUCCAUAGCCGACCUGAGAGGGUGACCGGCCACAUUGGGACUGAGACACGGCCCAAACUCCUACGGGAGGCAGCAGUGGGGAAUAUUGCACAAUGGGCGAAAGCCUGAUGCAGCGACGCCGCGUGAGCGAAGAAGUAUUUCGGUAUGUAAAGCUCUAUCAGCAGGGAAGAUAAUGACGGUACCUGACUAAGAAGCACCGGCUAGAUACGUG